GUUGACAUACAGGCUGCCAUGGUGACCUUUUAAUAGAUCUAAGAAAAAAAUGUAAUAAAAGAAUGAAACUUAAAAACUCCCAAACCUCAUGUCAUAUUUACUAAUCAGCUAUGGCUGAUUUAUUGUUUGGAUCACAGUGAGUUACACUAAUUCUAAUAUAUUUUUAUUUCUAUUGUACAUACAUACUUUUUAACUGUUAUUUUCACAUGACUGUUAUCAGGCUCUCUUGUUCUGGUUCUGAUGAUAAUCCCGUGUCUUCCAGUAAGUUAUCUUGUGCUUACUUCAUCUGUAUAAUGUCUCUUUACUUUUGGUAAAUUGUACUGAGUCCAGAAUAAAGGCUAGUUGGCUGUACAAGAUACAAACAAGUAUUACGUUUUGGAAAUAUAUGAAACACCGCCAGCAUCUGUUAGAGCCUGUGGCGGGGUGCUGAGGGCCGGCUCCAGCCCAGGAAUGAGCUCUACACGCCGGCCGGGAGGGUUUGAAACACCGCCAUCCUCUCCUCUGCUGGCUGUUCAUUCUGUUAUGGUUACCGGUGCUUGUGUUGCAAUGUGAAACGUUUGGUCUCAGAUUUUGUAAGAAAGAUAAUAAAAUGUCCCCCCAAAGUACGACUUAAAUAUAUUUUCUCUUCUUCAUGAUACAUUUAAUGGCUGGUGCGACUCAGGAGUGAUAGCGCCGAAAAAAACUGUACUGAAAACUUGCUCAAAGCAAAAUGUAUUCAUUACGGAAAUAAAUUAUAAACUUACCGAUUUAAAACUUUUUUAAUACAGGUACUUCUCACGAACAGGCACAGAAAACCUCCACCUAAACUCCGUGUGAGGUUCAGGUCGAUGGGUGUUCCAGUUAGCUCCGGUUGGGUUGAAGCUAGGUGGCUACAUCCGUUAGCUCGGCUCCCACCUCCGCUUUAGCUUUGGGUUAGCCAGGGUUAGCUUCAGGUUAGCUCGUAGCUAGUUCGCCUGGGUGUCGUCACUCGAGCCCAGCCUUACAGCCACACCCUCAGCGCCUCCUCUCUUCCCUUUUAUGGAAUUGUCUGGGCUGGACGGAACCUGUGACACGGUCAAAAUGGCGGUGGUGGACACCUCCCAUUAUGGACAGAUAACGUGUUAUUGAAGCCUAUGGAAUCGAAUUGUCCAGUAUAUGUACAGUCUAUGUUUGCACGCCGGCUGUGGAUUUUCAACAGGCAGAGAAAGGGGAGAGCUAUUAAGUUUUAAACGACUGCAGGUGUCCAGGGUCAGGAGAGGCUUUACCUGUCCUGGGAGAGAGGCCUUCUACUGUCAUCAUGUUAUUGUUAUUUAGCUGUUUGAUAUUUGAACACAUUUAUUAAAACAAAUACUAACUGAGAA